GGAUAGAUGAUGAUUUCCAGUCAAACAUUCCUUGGAAAAGCUGAACAAAAUGAGUGAAAACUCAGUACCGCCGCUCUCAUCGAAAACUGAGGUCC